rnacentral:rRNA from 2 species
AAGUCGUAACAAGGUUUCCGUAGGUGAACCUGCGGAAGGAUCAUUAUCAAAUGUAGAAUACCACAUUCUUCAACCCGUUCUGCGUACUUGUACUUGUUGCUUCCAUGGGCAGUGAACCGCGUGUUUGCGUUCGCCUUUGUGGCGGACCCAUGGGAGAUAUUCACAAACCCCACAUUUCGUCAUCAUAGUCUGAUACCCUUCAUUAUAUGAAUGUUAAAACUUUCAACAACGGAUCUCUUGGUUCUCGCAUCGAUGAAGAACGCAGCGAAAUGCGAUAAGUAGUGUGAAUUGCAGAAUUCCGUGAAUCAUCGAAUCUUUGAACGCACAUUGCGCCCCUCGGAAUUCCGGAGGGCAUGCCUGUUCGAGCGUCAUCAAAAACCCUCAAGCAUUGGAUUAUUCCACGAUAAGUCUUGGUGCUGGGUCUGGAGUGUACGUACGUACAUAUGUUUGUGUAUAAGUCAUUCCUGCCCGAAAAUCAAUGGCGAUUCUGUCAGCAUCAAAUCAGCGUGAUAAUUGCAUCGUGUAUGUUCCGCUGUGGUAAUGACAAUCAUCUGCCGUUAACCCCCCAACUACCU